rnacentral:rRNA from 1 species
GACGUAGGGGGCGAGCGUUAUCCGGAUUUACUGGGCGUAAAGCGUGUUAAGGCGGCCGGCAAAGUUGAGGGUGAAAUUUCGGGGCUCAACCCCGAAACUGCCUCCAAUACUGGUCGGCUCGAGUGCGAGAGAGGAAGGUGGAAUUCCCGGUGUAGUAGUGAAAUGCGUAGAUAUCGGGAGGAACACCAGUGGCGAAGGCGGCCUUCUGGCUCGUAUCUGACGCUGUAGCACGAAAGCGUGGGGAGCGAACGGG